rnacentral:rRNA from 1 species
GACGAACGCUGGCGGCGUGCUUAACACAUGCAAGUCGAACGGAAAGGCCCUGCUUUUGUGGGGUGCUCGAGUGGCGAACGGGUGAGUAACACGUGAGUAACCUGCCCUUGACUUUGGGAUAACUUCAGGAAACUGGGGCUAAUACCGGAUAGGAGCUCCUGCUGCAUGGUGGGGGUUGGAAAGUUUCGGCGGUUGGGGAUGGACUCGCGGCUUAUCAGCUUGUUGGUGGGGUAGUGGCUUACCAAGGCUUUGACGGGUAGCCGGCCUGAGAGGGUGACCGGCCACAUUGGGACUGAGAUACGGGCCAGACUGCUACGGGAGGCAGCAGUGGGAAAUAUUGCGCAAUGGGCGGAGGCCUGAUGCAGCGACGCCGCGUGCGGGAGGACUGCCUUCGGGGUGUAAACCGCUUUCGCCUGUGACGAAGCGUGAGUGACGGUAAUGGGUAAAGAAGCACCGGCUAACUACGUG